UCCUCGGUAGCUCAGUUGGUAGAGCGGGUGGCUGUUAACCACCAAGUCGCAGGUUCGAGUCCUGCCCGGGGAGCCA
rnacentral:tRNA from 1 species